rnacentral:rRNA from 1 species
AGUCAUAUGCUUGUCUCAAAGAUUAAGCCAUGCAUGUCUAAGUACAAGCCGAUCUAAGGCUAAACCGCGGACGGCUCAUUAAAUCAGAUAUAAUUCAUUGGAUCUGUACAACCCACUUACUUGGAUAACUGUGGUAAUUCUAGAGCUAAUACAUGCCUUUAGAGACUCUGACAGCAAUGGAAGAGCGCUUUUAUUAGCACAAAACCUAUCGGACCUUGGGCCGUAUGACUUGGUGAAUCUAAAUAACUUUUGCUGAGCGCACGUCCUUCGAGACGGCGCCGCAUCUUGCAAGUGUCUGCCUUAUCAGCUCUCGAUUGUAGGUUAAACGCCUACAAUGGCUAUAACGGGUAACGGGGAAUCAGGGUUCGAUUCCGGAGAGGGAGCCUGAGAAACGGCUACCACAUCUAAGGAAGGCAGCAGGCGCGCAAAUUACCCACUCCCGGCACGGGGAGGUAGUGACGAAAAAUACUGUUGUGAGCCUCAAUCGAGGCUUCGCAAUUGGAAUGAGUACACUUUAAAUCCUUGUACGAGGAUCCAGUGGAGGGCAAGUCUGGUGCCAGCCGCCGCGGUAAUUCCAGCUCCAUUAGCGUAUAUUAAAGUUGUUGCGGUUAAAACGCUCGUAGUUGGCUCCCUGUUCUGGACUGGCGGUGCACCUUAGCGGUGCUUACUGUACAGCUCUGAGCUAUAGCCCCGCCGGCUCACGCCGGGUGCUCUUCACCGAGUGUCCCUCGUGGCCGGCACGUUUACCUUGAAAAAAUUAGAGUGCUCAGAGCAGGCUAUACUAACAGCCUGAAUGAUAGUGCAUGGUAUAAUGGAAUAGGAUCUCGGUUCUAUUUUGUAGGACUUUUCGGAACCCGAGGUAAUGAUUAAUAGAAGCAGACGGGGGUAUUCGUACUGCGACGAUAGAGGUGAAAUUCUUAGACCGUCGCAUGACGAGCUACUGCGAAAGCAUUUGCCAAGGAUGUUUUCAUUAAUCAAGAACGAAAGUUAGAGGUUCGAAGGCGAUCAGAUACCGCCCUAGUUCUAACCAUAAACGAUGCUGACUAGCGAUCCGCCACAGUUAUUCCCAUGACCUGGCGGGUAGCUUCCGGGAAACCAAAGUAUUUGAGUUCCGGGGGAAGUAUGGUUGCAAAGCUGAAACUUAAAGGAAUUGACGGAAGGGCACCACCAGGAGUGGAGCCUGCGGCUCAAUUUGACUCAACACGGGGAAUCUUACCAGGCCAGGGCACUGGAAGGAUUGACAGAUUGAAAGCUCUUUCUUGAUUCGGUGGGUGGUGGUGCAUGGCCGUUCUUAGUUGGUGGAGUGAUUUGUCUGGUUAAUUCCGAUAACGAACGAGACUCUAGCCUAUUAAAUAGUCGACGGAUCUACUCCUAUAUAUAUAUAGACCGUGAACUAAUGUCCCGAACUCCAGUUUUCUAAUACUUUUCUUUAACUGGUCAAACUCUUGGUUCAUCAUUGAUGUUCUGGGAGAUGCGAUUAAGUGGGGGAUCGCUAAAAGGCUACUGUACUCUUGGGCUUUGGACGAAUGGUGUCCAGCUCGCAUAUAUCUUCUUAGAGGGAUAAGCGGCAGCAAAAAAAAUACUAGCCGCACGAGAGAUUGAGCCAUAACAGGUCUGUGAUGCCCUUAGAUGUUCUGGGCCGCACGCGCGCUACAAUGGAGAGUUCAGCAAGCUCUCCCUGCUCCGACAGGAGUGGGUAACCUUCUUAAAGCUGUCCUUAAAGGGGAUUGGGGCUUGCAAAUAUGGCCCAUGAACGAGGAAUUCCCAGUAGGCGCAAUUCACCAGAUUGCACCGAUUUAGUCCCUGCCCUUUGUACACACCGCCCGUCGCUACUACCGAUUGAAUGGUCUAGUGAGGGCAUCGGACUGGCGCUCUUGGAGUGGUCUCUCUCAUGAUAUCCCUUUACGGGGAAGGAAGGGAGUUGGUGCCGCGCCUCGGGUCGACGGAAAGAUGUCCGAGCUGGGUCAUUUAGAGGAAGUAAAAGUCGUAACAAGGUUUCCGU